UACGUAGGGUGCAAGCGUUGUCCGGAAUUAUUGGGCGUAAAGAGCUCGUAGGCGGUUUGUUGCGUCGGCUGUGAAAACCUGAGGCUCAACCUCAGGCCUGCAGUCGAUACGAGCAGACUAGAGUGUUGCAGGGGAGACUGGAAUUCCUGGUGUGGCGGUGAAAUGCGCAGAUAUCAGGAGGAACACCGGUGGCGAAGGCGGGUCUCUGGGCAACAACUGACGCUGAGGAGCGAAAGCGUGGGGAGCGAACAGG
rnacentral:rRNA from 1 species